GGGCAGCCCCCCGCCGCCACCACCGCCGCCCCCCACCCGGAGCACCCGGCGGACCCCGGCAGCACGGCGCCCGCGCGGCUUUACCGGUCGCCGCUCGUGGUGCCCCUGUCCCGGCACCUGCUGCUCUUUGCCCGGGUGCCCCGGCCCAGCGCCGCUAAGGACUGUCUGCUGCUCUGCGCCGCCGGCCUGCGGCCCGCCGCCCCCCCGGCCCCCCCGGGGACCCCCCCCUGAGGCCACCCCCCCCGGGGGGGGGACACACAGGGGGCCCAGGCGUCCUGGCAGCACCCCCCCCCCCGGACUGUAUAUACAGACCCCCCCCCGCCGCCACCACAUGCCUGUAACCACCUGCCCCCCCCCCGCACUGUACAUAGCCCCCCCCCCCACAGUGGACCCAGGCGUCCGGGCCCCCCCCUCACCCCCCAUGACCAGUGCCCAGCCGAGGGGCAGCAGCGGGUGGGGGGGCACCCUAAACCCCCCCCCCACCCAAGGGACCAGCAGGAGCCAGGGUGGGUGGGGGCCCCCCCCCCGUUAAUGCCACCUUUGGGUGCCCUAAUUGCUGCUAACGAAGCUGAGCACCCCCCCCGCCCAGCAAAAAGGGGGGGGGGUCCCCGAUACGGCCCCCCCCCCGCUAGUAAUUUAUUUCUAGUGACCCCCCCGCACCCGUUUGCACUAAACCCCCGGUUAUUUAUACCCCCAAAAAGGGGGGGUUUGCCCCCUUUUAGCACCUCGGUUUGCUGCCCCCCCCCCGAUUUGUCCCCCCUCCCCGGUUUAUUGUCCCCCCCCCCCGGUUUAUUGCCCCCCCUCCACCCCCCCGCAGCACCCAUGGGUGGCAGGAUGGAAAUAAAGCUGCGUUGCUCCCACGGGUGGCUCCGCGCAGCGUGGGGACGCGGCUGUCCCGGGGGGGGGACAAGGGACAGGGGACCCCCAAAGUGGCCCCG